rnacentral:rRNA from 1 species
CGGUGAACUGAAACAUCUAAGUAGCCGGAGGAAGAGAAAGAAACAUCGAUUUCCAAAGUAGCGGCGAGCGAAAUGGAAAGAGCCCAAACCAUGUUGCGUGCAAUAUGGGGUUUGGACUGCAACGUGUAUCUUAGAGGAUAGAAGAACAGUUUUGGGAAAUCUGACCAUAGAGGGUGAAAGUCCCGUAAUCGAAAUCCAAUAAGAGCUAGCAGUAUCCAGAGUAGGACGAGACACGUGGAACCUUGUCUGAACACGGGAGGACCACCUCCCAAGGCUAAAUACUACUUAGUGACCGAUAGCGCAUAGUACUGUGAAGGAACGGUGAAAAGAACCCCGGGAGGGGAGUGAAAGAGAACCUGAAACCCUGUGUUUACAAACUGUGGAACACCCUUAUGUGGUGAACCGCGUACUUUUUGUAGAACGGUCCGGCGAGUUACGCUCACUGGCAAGGUUAAGGACUAAAGGUCUGUAGCCGAAGGGAAACCAAGUCUUAAUAGGGCGAAGUAGUCAGUGGGAGUAGACCCGAAACCGGGUGACCUACCCAUGUCCAGGAUGAAGUUGCCGUAAAAGGCAAUGGAGGUCCGAACACACAUCCGUUGAAAAGGGUGGUGAUGAGGUGUGGGUAGCGGAGAAAUUCCAAUCGAACCCGGAGAUAGCUGGUUCUCCUCGAAAUAGCUUUAGGGCUAGCCUCAAUUUAGUCUUGCGGAGGUAGAGCACUGAAUAACCAAGGGGGCGUCAAAGCUUACCGAAGUUUAUCAAACUCCGAAUGCCGUUAAGAUGAUGAUUGGGAGUCAGACUGCACGAGAUAAGUUGGGUAGUCGAGAGGGAAAGAGCCCAGACCUCCAGCUAAGGUCCCAAAGUGAGUGUUAAGUGGAAAAGGAUGUGGGAAUUCGAAGACAACUAGGAUGUUGGCUUAGAAGCAGCCAUUCAUUCAAAGAGUGCGUAAUAGCUCACUAGUCGAGAGUUCCUGCGCCGAAAAUGUCCGGGGCUAAACACUACACCGAAGCUGAGGAAUGAGUAAUCAUUGGUAGAGGAGCAUUCUUAAACGGACGAAGCUGUACCGUAAGGAGCAGUGGACGGUUAAGAAGAGAGAAUGCCGGAAUGAGUAGCGAGAGUAAGGUGAGAAUCCUUACGGCCGAAUAUCUAAGGUUUCCAGGGUAAAGCUGAUCUGCCCUGGGUAAGUCGGGACCUAAGGCGAGGUCGAAAGACGUAGUCGAUGGAUAACAGGUUGAAAUUCCUGUACUACAAUGUAUCAGAACUGUGGGGACGCAGAUAGAGAGCCUGAGCCUGGAAUGGAAAAACAGGUGCAAGCGAGGUAGGAGUGUGGUAGGCAAAUCCGCCACACAAUCUGAAGACGUGAUGCGGAGAGAAACUAAUAAGUAUCGAAGCAGGUGAGCUAGCUGCCAGGAAAAGCCGCUAUUGUGUACAUUGUACCCGUACCGUAAACCGACACAGGUGGAUGAGGAGAGAAUCCUAAGGCCGACGGAAGAAGCAUUGUUAAGGAACUCGGCAAAAUGGCCCCGUAACUUCGGGAUAAGGGGUGCCUAUUUUUUGAUAGGCCGCAGAGAAUUGGCCCAAGCAACUGUUUAGCAAAAACACAGGUCUAUGCGAAACCGUAAGGUGAUGUAUAUGGGCUGACGCCUGCCCGGUGCUGGAAGGUUAAGAGGAGAGGUUAGCGUAUGCGAAGCUUUGAAUUCAAGCCCCAGUAAACGGCGGCCGUAACUAUAACGGUCCUAAGGUAGCGAAAUUCCUUGUCGGGUAAGUUCCGACC